UGAUUUCAAAGAAAUGAUAUCAGUUCGAGUUUAAAGCUUGUGAAGUUUUCUUUCAUUGUGUUUUACAGUUUCCUUACAACUCUGAUAAAUUGUAAUGCAAUUAACAAAAAUCGUGUCUGUCGUUUUCUUCAUUACUCUUUUUGCUUUCAUUGGUCUAAACAUGGCUCAAGCACAAGGGAUGGACGCAACCGAGGGCCGAACCAAAUCUGCUAAAGAGGCACUCGGUGAUGAUCCUAUGCAAAGUGCAUCCGGUAUUGGACUCGAUGGUAAACGGCCACAGGAAGACGGUGGUCUUUUCCGAUGAUGUAACUCGGGUAUUCAACUAAGAGAAUCAUGAAUGAAUUGGACAUUAUAUUUUGUGACAAUUAAGGACAGCUUUUAUAUUGAAUUGAUGAAAUAAGAUCAUUUAAUCUUUUUAUCUGUUUUUAUUUAAACAAUAAUUACCCAAGCAUUUCUUUGAUUUGACCAGAUUUCUGAGCCUCAUGAACUUUUGUUUUGAUUUUUUACUCUGACCUUUGCCCACCAUCAUUAGAAAUAUGUGCCGAUAACUCGAGAGCUAUAAGUCAGACCUUUAAGUUGUCCAGUCAGUAUAGUUCUCAAUAGAUAUUAAUAAAAAAUCUCAAGUUCAUUCA